GACGAACGCUGGCGGCGUGCUUAACACAUGCAAGUCGAGCGGUAAGGCCCUUCGGGUACGACGAGCGGCGAACGGGUGAGUAACACGUGGGUGACCUGCCCUCAGUUCUGGGAUAAGCCUGGGAAACCGGGUCUAAUACUGGAUAUGACCUCAUGACGCAUGUUGUGGGGUGGAAAGCCUUGUGCGACUGAGGAUGGGCCCGCGGCCUAUCAGCUUGUUGGUGGGGUGAUGGCCUACCAAGGCGACGACGGGUAGCCGGCCUGAGAGGGCGACCGGCCACACUGGGACUGAGACACGGCCCAGACUCCUACGGGAGGCAGCAGUGGGGAAUCUUGCGCAAUGGGCGAAAGCCUGACGCAGCGACGCCGCGUGAGGGAUGACGGCCUGUGUAA
rnacentral:rRNA from 1 species